rnacentral:misc_RNA from 1 species
GAAAAUUAAUAAUAAAAUAAACUGAAUCUGUUCCAUGUUAGCAUACCCCAAAUACAUAUGAUAGCAUAAGUACACCAGUUCCUCUCAUGGCAUUUAAGACACCAACCAAAAAAUAUGUCCGAUAAAUCAAAGCGACAAAUUUCAUAGCAAUGAAUAGACCAAAGCUACCAUAAUCCACAGCACCAAGAGGCAAACACAAUCUCAAAAAUUCCGAGUAGAACAGCUCAUCCCAAGUACAGCCAGUAACCUUACCUCCCCAAG